rnacentral:rRNA from 1 species
UACGUAGGGAGCAAGCGUUGUCCGGAAUCAUUGGGCGUAAAGCGCGCGUAGGUGGCUUCGUAAGUCCGUUGUGAAAGUCAAAGGCUCAACCUUUGAAUGCCGAUGGAUACUGCGGAGCUAGAGUACGGAAGAGGCGAGUGGAAUUCCUGGUGUAGCGGUGGAAUGCGCAGAUAUCAGGAGGAACACCGGUGGCGAAGGCGGUUCUCUGGGCAUUACCUGACGCUGAGGAGCGAAAGUGUGGGGAGCGAACAGG